rnacentral:rRNA from 2 species
UAGAGUUUGAUCCUGGCUCAGGACGAACGCUGGCGGCGUGCCUAAUACAUGCAAGUCGAACGAACUCUGGUAUUGAUUGGUGCUUGCAUCAUGAUUUACAUUUGAGUGAGUGGCGAACUGGUGAGUAACACGUGGGAAACCUGCCCAGAAGCGGGGGAUAACACCUGGAAACAGAUGCUAAUACCGCAUAACAACUUGGACCGCAUGGUCCGAGUUUGAAAGAUGGCUUCGGCUAUCACUUUUGGAUGGUCCCGCGGCGUAUUAGCUAGAUGGUGAGGUAACGGCUCACCAUGGCAAUGAUACGUAGCCGACCUGAGAGGGUAAUCGGCCACAUUGGGACUGAGACACGGCCCAAACUCCUACGGGAGGCAGCAGUAGGGAAUCUUCCACAAUGGACGAAAGUCUGAUGGAGCAACGCCGCGUGAGUGAAGAAGGGUUUCGGCUCGUAAAACUCUGUUGUUAAAGAAGAACAUAUCUGAGAGUAACUGUUCAGGUAUUGACGGUAUUUAACCAGAAAG